UCAAGCGAAUAAGUGCAUGUGGUGGAUGCCUUGGCGAUCACAGGCGAUGAAGGACGUAGUAGCUUGCGAAAAGCUGCGGGGAGCUGGCAAACGAGCUUUGAUCCGCAGAUGUCCGAAUGGGGAAACCCGGCCCGUAUGGGUCAUCCCUUGCUGAAUACAUAGGCAAGGGAGGCGAACGCAGUGAACUGAAACAUCUAAGUAGCUGCAGGAAAAGAAAUCAACCGAGAUUCCCAAAGUAGUGGCGAGCGAAAUGGGAACAGCCUUGUACUCUUUAGCAGUAUUGUUAGCGGAACGGAAUGGAAAGUCCGGCCAUAGUGGGUGAUAGCCCCGUACGCGAAAACAGUAUUGUGGAACUAGGUGUACGACAAGUAGGGCGGGACACGUGAAAUCCUGUCUGAAGAUGGGGGGACCAUCCUCCAAGGCUAAAUACUCGUGAUCGACCGAUAGUGAACCAGUACCGUGAGGGAAAGGCGAAAAGAACCCCGGGAGGGGAGUGAAAUAGAUCCUGAAACCGCAUGCAUACAAACAGUCGGAGCCUGGAAACGGGUGACGGCGUACCUUUUGUAUAAUGGGUCAGCGACUUACAUUCAGUGGCAAGCUUAACCGAUUAGGGAAGGCGUAGCGAAAGCGAGUCCGAAUAGGGCGUUCAGUCGCUGGGUGUAGACCCGAAACCAAGUGAUCUAUCCAUGGCCAGGUUGAAGGUGCGGUAACACGUACUGGAGGACCGAACCCACUAACGUUGAAAAGUUAGGGGAUGAGCUGUGGAUAGGGGUGAAAGGCUAAACAAACUUGGAAAUAGCUGGUUCUCUCCGAAAACUAUUUAGGUAGUGCCUCGUGUCUCACCUUCGGGGGUAGAGCACUGUCAUGGUUGGGGGGUCUAUUGCUGAUUCCCCCGCCAUAGCAAACUCCGAAUACCGAAGAGUGCAAUCACGGGAGACAGACAUCGGGUGCUAACGUCCGGUGUCAAGAGGGAAACAACCCAGACCGCCAGCUAAGGUCCCUAAGAUUGGCUAAGUGGGAAACGAAGUGGGAAGGCUAAAACAGUCAGGAGGUUGGCUUAGAAGCAGCCACCCUUUAAAGAAAGCGUAAUAGCUCACUGAUCGAGUCGUCCUGCGCGGAAGAUGUAACGGGGCUAAGCCAGUCACCGAAGCUGCGGAUGCACGUAAGUGCAUGGUAGGAGAGCGUUCUGUAAGCCUGUGAAGGUGUCUUGUAAAGGAUGCUGGAGGUAUCAGAAGUGCGAAUGCUGACAUGAGUAGCGAUAAAGGGGGUGAAAGGCCCCCUCGCCGUAAGCCCAAGGUUUCCUACGCAACGUUCAUCGGCGUAGGGUGAGUCGGCCCCUAAGGCGAGGCAGAGAUGCGUAGCUGAUGGGAAGCAGGUUAAUAUUCCUGCACCGUCGUAUGAUGCGAUGGGGGGACGGAUCGCGGAAGGUUGUCCGGGUGUUGGAAGUCCCGGUCCCUACAUUGGAGAUGGCACUUAGGCAAAUCCGGGUGCGUGAUUCAAGGGUGUGGGGCGAGCGACGUUAGGUCGCGAAGCAAUUGGAAGUGGUUCCAAGAAAAGCCUCUAAGCUUCAGUCAUACGAGACCGUACCGCAAACCGACACAGGUGGGCGAGAUGAGUAUUCUAAGGCGCUUGAGAGAACUCGGGAGAAGGAACUCGGCAAAUUGGUACCGUAACUUCGGGAUAAGGUACGCCCUUGUAGUUUGACUGGCUCGCGCCAGAAGGAUGAAGGGGUUGCAAUAAAAUGGUGGCUGCGACUGUUUAAUAAAAACACAGCACUCUGCAAACACGAAAGUGGACGUAUAGGGUGUGACGCCUGCCCGGUGCCGGAAGAUUAAAUGAUGGGGUGCAAGCUCUUGAUUGAAGUCCCGGUAAACGGCGGCCGUAACUAUAACGGUCCUAAGGUAGCGAAAUUCCUUGUCGGGUAAGUUCCGACCUGCACGAAUGGCGUAACGAUGGCCACACUGUCUCCUCCCGAGACUCAGCGAAGUUGAAGUGUUUGUGAUGAUGCAAUCUCCCCGCGGCUAGACGGAAAGACCCCAUGAACCUUUACUGUAGCUUUGCAUUGGACUUUGAACCGAUCUGUGUAGGAUAGGUGGGAGGCUUUGAAACCGGGACGCUAGUUUCGGUGGAGCCGACCUUGAAAUACCACCCUGGUUUGUUUGAGGUUCUAACCUUGGCCCGUGAAUCCGGGUCGGGGACAGUGCAUGGUAGGCAGUUUGACUGGGGCGGUCUCCUCCCAAAGUGUAACGGAGGAGUUCGAAGGUACGCUUGGUACGGUCGGACAUCGUACCUAAAGUGCAAUGGCAAAAGCGUGCUUAACUGCGAGACCGACAAGUCGAGCAGGUGCGAAAGCAGGACAUAGUGAUCCGGUGGUUCUGUAUGGAAGGGCCAUCGCUCAACGGAUAAAAGGUACUCUGGGGAUAACAGGCUGAUACCGCCCAAGAGUUCAUAUCGACGGCGGUGUUUGGCACCUCGAUGUCGGCUCAUCUCAUCCUGGGGCUGUAGCCGGUCCCAAGGGUAUGGCUGUUCGCCAUUUAAAGAGGUACGUGAGCUGGGUUUAAAACGUCGUGAGACAGUUUGGUCCCUAUCUGCCGUGGGCGUUGGAAUCUUGACGGGGGCUGCUCCUAGUACGAGAGGACCGGAGUGGACGUACCGCUGGUGUACCUGUUGUCUCGCCAGAGGCAUCGCAGGGUAGCUAUGUACGGAAGAGAUAACCGCUGAAAGCAUCUAAGCGGGAAACUCGCCUGAAGAUGAGGAUUCCCUGGAGACUUGAUCUCCCUGAAGGGUCGUUCGAGACCAGGACGUUGAUAGGCUGGGUGUGGAAGCGCAGUAAUGCGUUCAGCUAACCAGUACUAAUUGCCCGUGCGGCUUGAUCCU
rnacentral:rRNA from 1 species